UUAUGGCUCAGGACGAACGCUGGCGGCGUGCCUAAUACAUGCAAGUCGAACGGCUUUUCUAUGGAAGCUUGCUUCCACUGAGAAGAUAGUGGCGAACGGGUGAGUAACACGUGGGUAACCUGCCCAUAAGAGGGGGGAUAACAUCCGGAAACGGGUGCUAAUACCGCAUAGUUUUCUUGAUCGCAUGAUCGGGAAAGGAAAGACGGCCUUUGUGCUGUCGCUUAUGGAUGGACCCGCGGCGUAUUAGUUAGUUGGUGAGGUAACGGCUCACCAAGACGAUGAUACGUAGCCGACCUGAGAGGGUGAUCGGCCACAUUGGGACUGGGACACGGCCCAAACUCCUACGGGAGGCAGCAGUAGGGAAUCUUCCGCAAUGGACGAAAGUCUGACGGAGCAACGCCGCGUGAGUGAAGAAAAGGUUUUCGGAUCGUAAAACUCUGUUGUCAGAGAAGAACAAGUUGGAGAGUAACUGCUCCAGCCUUGACGGUAUCUGACCAGAAAGCCACGGCUAACUACGUGCCAGCCGCCGC
rnacentral:rRNA from 1 species